CCACGCAAUUACUCGGGAGGCCAAAGAUUCGGGGGCAAAGGCGCUGGGAGGGAGCCAGCCGGUCCCGCCCCGCCCCGCCCCCCGGCGCGUGAAUGAGGCGGCGGCUCGCGGACGCGGCUGUAUUGGGGACACGGCUGUAUUGGGGAGCGAAGGCUCCUACACGGUAGAAGGCACAGACUGCAGAGCCAGGGAUGCUGAGGAAGCCAGAAAAGGAUGCGGGCUAGGUGUUAGAAGAGACAGCACAGCUCCUUCCAGCUGCGGCACACGGGGCUGAAUGAGUUCGUUCCACAAGCAAGGAGUGUCUGCGAGUCCCAGGG